GCCAUGCACGUGUAAGAAUAACCGAUUCAGGUGGAAAUCUGCGAAUGGCUCAUUAAAUCAGUUAUAGUUUAUUUGAUACUCUCUCUCUACAUGGAUACCCGUAGUAAUUCUAGAGCUAAUACAUGCCUGUCCGCGGCGAUCGCAAGAGAGCCGCGUGCUGACUAGAUACAACCGGCCCCGAAAGGGUACCAGGUGAUUCACAGUCAUCGAACGAACCGCAUGCCUCACGGCGGCGGUGGUUCAUUCAAGUUUCUGCCCUAUCAGCUUCCGAUGGUAGUGUAUUGGACUACCAUGGCGUCAACGGGUAACGGAGGGUCAGGGCUCGACACCGGAGACGUAGCCUGAGAGAUGGCUUCGACAUCCAAGGAAGGCAGCAGGCGCGAAAACUACCCAAUCCCGAUACGGGGAGGUGGUGAACAAAAAUACUAAAGGGGCGCCUUCGGGUGCUCCUAUUGGAAUGAGUACAAUUUAAAUCCAUUCACGAGGACCAAUUGGAGGGCAAGUCUGGUGCCAGCAGCCGCGGUAAUUCCAGCUCCAAGAACGAAUUCUAAAGUUGUUGCAGUUAAAAAGCUCGUAGUUGAAUGUCUGGAGCGAUCUUUGGGAGAACGGGGGCGACGGUGCAGCAAUGCACUCUAGUUCCCCAUUCUCUCGCGCUCCCAUCUGUACGGCAGAGACGGGGGGCGGCAUUCACUUGUCGCCCCUCUAUCAGCUCCGCCUCCUUCACUGUGAACAAACUAGAGUGUUUAAAGCAGGCUCUCUGGCUUGAAUAAUCAAGCAUGGAAUGAUGAGAUAGGACCUUU
rnacentral:rRNA from 1 species